UGGGGAAUAUUGGACAAUGGGGGCAACCCUGAUCCAGCAAUGCCGCGUGUGUGAAGAAGGUCUUCGGAUUGUAAAGCACUUUCGACGGGGACGAUGAUGACGGUACCCGUAGAAGAAGCCCCGGCUAACUUCGUGCCAGCAGCCGCGGUAAUACGAAGGGGGCUAGCGUUGCUCGGAAUGACUGGGCGUAAAGGGCGUGUAGGCGGUUUACACAGUCAGAUGUGAAAUCCCCGGGCUUAACCUGGGAGCUGCAUUUGAUACGUGUAGACUAGAGUGUGAGAGAGGGUUGUGGAAUUCCCAGUGUAGAGGUGAAAUUCGUAGAUAUUGGGAAGAACACCGGUGGCGAAGGCGGCAACCUGGCUCAUGACUGACGCUGAGGCGCGAAAGCGUGGGGAGCAAACAGGAUUAGAUACCCUGGUAGUCCACGCUGUAAACGAUGUGUGCUAGAUGUUGGGUAACUUUGUUAUUCAGUGUCGCAGUUAACGCGUUAAGCACACCGCCUGGGG
rnacentral:rRNA from 1 species